rnacentral:lncRNA from 1 species
UGGACGUGGAAGAUAGGCUUCAUAUCCCUCAGAGUUCUCUGCAGAGAACUGGACUGUGAGGGAGGGGUCCAACCUGGGGCGCCAGACCAUCGAGCUGAUCCCCAUCACAGAAGUUCAUUACUGGUAUCAAGGAAAGACUUCUGUCUACUACAUCUAUGGCACCGACCACCAAGUGUACGUGGCUGACUACCCUGAGCGAUACUGCUGUGGAUGCACCAUCCUCUGAUAGGCACAGCUGUCCCCAGACUCCAAUGGUCACAUUUGACAAGGGGACAGCAGUACUCUUUGAGUUUAGUUGUGUUGGUGAUGUUGGACAACCCCCCAUGCAAAUCUUGGAAGUCUUUCUGAACAAGCUAAUGAUCUAUCAAGAGUCAAUUAUUGAUGGAGCUCGUUUGGUGAGACCUAUGUUUAACUCACAAGAAUUCUCCUAACCAAGUUCCUCUAGAGUAAAGGUGAGAUGCAAGAUAAA